GACGAACGCUGGCGGCGUGCUUAACACAUGCAAGUCGAACGGAAAGGCCCUGCUUUUGUGGGGUGCUCGAGUGGCGAACGGGUGAGUAACACGUGAGUAACCUGCCCUUGACUUUGGGAUAACUUCAGGAAACUGGGGCUAAUACCGGAUAGGAGCUCCUGCUGCAUGGUGGGGGUUGGAAAGUUUCGGCGGUUGGGGAUGGACUCGCGGCUUAUCAGCUUGUUUGUGGGGUAGUGGCUUACCAAGGCUUUGACGGGUAGCCGGCCUGAGAGGGUUACCGGACACAUAGGGACUGAGAUAAGGCACAGACUCCAACGGGAGGCAGCAGUGGGGAAUAUUGCACAAUGGGCGGAAGCCUGAUGCAGCAACGCCGCGUGCGGGAUGACGGCCUUCGGGUUGUAAACCGCUUUCGCCUGUGACGAAGCGUGAGUGACGGUAAUGGGUAAAGAAGCACCGGCUAACUACGUG
rnacentral:rRNA from 1 species